UGGAUGACGGAUGGAUUGGUUCCCAGAGACAGAAGAGAUCCAGGCUCUGCCUCCACUUCGCUGGGUGUUAGCGCUCCGUCCUGUCCAGGUGCUCCGUCUCUUUCUCAGUUCUUAGACUUACAUGGGCGACAACUUACAGCAAAAACACAAAUCAGAGACACAACAGGGCUCACUGAACACUUUUACUGAUGAACCACGCCAUCCUCAUCAUCACAGCCACAACUGCAGGAAUAUCUUUAGGAAACAGAUUUCAUAACAGAUCUCUAGUAGGGUUGGGCGAUAUGUAAAAGUUUUCCAACCGACAAUCAUCAGUCCAAUAAUCAACGAUGGGCAAUAUAUUCGCGCAUGCACAGACUUUUUGAUGGGCGGAGCAAUGUAAUCAUGCAUGGACUGAUUUCCGCAGAAGUACAAACAUGGACGAACUAAUAGGGCUGUCGGCGUUAACACGGUCAUCACGAUUAAUGCGAUUAAACUUUUUUAAUGCACUCAACCCAUCUGGAGCGCAGAUUGAACAAACUUUGGACAAACUGCCCGAAAUGCGUUGACAGAGACAUUUCAGGGAUUUUGACUCAGUUUGCGCUCCAGAUGGGUUCAUUGUUAAUCGCGUUAGUCGUGAUGAUGGCGCGUUAACACUGACAGCACUAAAAAAAUAUAACGUCGCCAAUUUGGGAUGAAAGCGGUAAACCUAAGGAUGUAACCGUUGGGCUCAGCCUAUCGUUGAUAGACGAUAUAUUCAUCCAGUCGCCCAACCCUAAUCUCUAGAGACGUGCAGAAUCUCACAGAGGCUCACACCUCCAGAAUUCAUGCUUCAAAAGAGCCAAAAAUAAACCCCAUACAAAACCUCUUCAGGUGCAUCCUGGGCAUGCAGCUCAGCACUCAGUUUCAUUUGGCGAGAUAAUAAAUCAACAUUAAGACAAUUCUGAGAAUGAAUUUGCACGACAAAGCGCUGAAGCCACUUUCAGAUUCACGUCUUUACUUUAAGUUGAGAACUCCUCCAGUCUCAUUUUCAGAGCAUCAAAUGAUGAGUGCUCUGAGUGGUUUCAAACUCAAACCAGCGUUCAGCAGCGAGCCAGCAGCUGAGCUGUGCAGGAGGUCUGUCAGAGGUGUUGCACAGAUGCGCCUGAUGCACAUCGAGCAGGAGAAUCGCUCACAGACACUAAAGAGUAUGAAUGUGGUGACUCUGUCUGCUGCAGUUAGAACGAGGGCGCGUUGGCUUCCUGCAGAUCUGCGUUACAUAACGGCCUUGUGGAAGAACAUUUGUGUGCCACAUGAUGAAAUCCUGUCGGUGCAGAUUAUUAAGAUGAAAACAAGACGUACUGUGGCAGCUGGCCACAGUGAACGCUGUCCAGAGCGGGACGAGCGCGUCUGCCGCUCUGUCUUUGAAACAUUACUCAUACACACCGCUGUGUCGGUUUAAGGACGACGCCUCUGAAUGUAAACAUGUCCGACAGCAGCAGGGUCUGCUGAGGUCGGAGAGCUCGGCAGGCGCUCUGCCGCGUUUUCCCAGCUGCUCUGAUUGAGAGCAGAUGGCCUCAUAAAACAAGUUGUUUUGAAACAGGUUAAAAUGAAGAACACGAGUGCCAGCAUUAGGAUCCUCCAUCAGCAGCCAACACCGCUCACUCGUUUGGACAGCGACCAUGACUCGGGCUCUGAUGAGCUGGAUGAGCAUGUGGGCGGGGCUGCGCAGCUGUCGGUCAGCACAGCGCAAACGGAACGUGUUUGUUUCACACUCGCUUUAAGGCCGAGGAGCUUUCAUGCUCUCGCUGUCCUCCUGCUCGAGUCCUGAGAGGCUCUGUGAGACCUCCUUGCACAAACACCUCUGUGUGCACAUAAACGUGUGUGUGUGUGUGUGCGUAUCUGUGUGCGUGUGUGUCUGUGUGUGUGUUAAACCCGUCCAGUGAGGAUUCAGAGCAGAGAGUCAGAGUUCAGGUCCACGCCCAGCACACGCUGGCCUCUAUCCUUAAUUACAUGUCGGGAAUUUGCACGCUGCUCAGCGCCUCUGUGUGAGGAAAUGUUCCCGCGAACAGAAAUAUUUGAAACGUGCACAGAGCACAGCUCACUUUUACAAACACCAACCUUAGAGUCCAAAACGAUGUGCGUCAGAAAUGCUUUGAUUCGCUUCCAGGUUCUAAUUCUCAUUCACAGCAGGACAGCUACAAAGUGCACACACAUGGCCAGAGUCCAAGCUAGCACGUUCGACUUAAUCAGGGCCAGGUGGAGGGAUUAGCCCUUUUUCUUAAACUGGGUUUGAUCUCAUGCACAAAAGUCUGAUGUGAACAGAGGGUUCAGUUUCCUGGAGUUUCUCUGUUCUGAAACAGUUCAGUUUCGGCUCUGCAGGUGUCGCUGUGCUGCAGCCACACGACCGAGGCUGUCAGGCAAAUCAGUGCAUGUUUGCUAAUGUCCUGGUAGUUCCUCACACUCUGGUGGUCAAAGACAGAACUGAAAGCUGCUCCUGAGUUAAACCAUAAGCUAUAAAGAUACAUUUAUCAUUUCUUAUACUGUAACAGUCCAUAUAAACCUUUGAUGGGCUGUUGCUGUUUGAAGCAGCCCCUAAAUGACCAAAACAAACGUUCUUCUUUAUUUUCUGGCUGUUUGCAGCCCUCUAGUGGUUGUAGGUGGAACUUCAGUUGAAAGUGGAGACAGGGUCACAGGGAGGUUUAGUGCUUCACCAGCCAGCUGGAGAAUCCUCAUUUUUCCGGGCCGACCUGAGGCUCGUAGAUGGUCUGUGAUUGGUCUCUAGGCCUGUCCAACAGCUGACGUCACCUGGUUAGUGGUGAAAGCCUGAGUAUAAGAAGCACUGCUCAUGAGAAGAAAAUGUUUAAGAUCACUUUGAUUUGGAGGGGGCGGAGUUUAUAACUUUUACCACAACCUGCCACCAGAGGGCGAUUGCCAUGCUGUCCAUCUUUAUAUACAGUCUGUGUUUUCAAGUUUACCCAGUCAGGAAUAAGGAGAACCGCUGGGUGAGUUUGCCCUCCUCGGUGACUGUCAGGCUCCUCCUGCUCUUCCUUCCUGAGCACAAACACUUGUAGUUAUGCAACAGGCAGUCUGUCUGUGAAUGCCAUCUGCUCUGGUAAACACAAACAGAGCGCGCUCACAUUUCCAGCGUGCAGCGCUCUGACACACUGGGAUUUUUCCACAGCUCUCCCCAUCUGCUAAACUGGGCUGUAACACCCCUCCAUAAUGGUUCUCAGGCAGUUCACAGAGGACUGGCACUGAAAGUCAAAGAGUCUGGAACUUUCCACCACAAAAUGGGUGAAAAUGAGCUCAGCGGGUUUUUUGGGUUUGACGUCACUCCCUCGUCCUGUCUCCGUUUCCUCUCCUGGUCUCUGUUCCAGCACCUUAACUCUGCAUCAGGGAACGUGUUUCGCUUUCGGAUGAUUUGCACGCUUGUUACAGGCUUCGUGAUGACUCGUGUGUUUAAGGAGCAGGUUGUGUAUUUGGAAACGGCUCGGCACCUUUGAUUUGUAUAUAAUUUGGAGUGAAUGUCAUAAACACGUCAUCAUGUGGAAGCUUUGUGUAGUCUGACAAUAAAGUUUGAAAAAGUG